UACAGAGGCCCCGAGCGUUACUGAGAAUCACUGGGUUUAAAGGGUGCGUAGGUGGCGCGUUAAGUCUGUUGUGAAAUCCCUGGGCUCAACCCAGGAAUUGCUUCGGAUACUGGCGUGCUUGAGGCUAGUAGAGGUCACUGGAACUGACGGUGGAGCGGUGAAAUGCGUAGAUAUCAGUCGGAACACCCGUGGCGAAGGCGGCUUCUUGGGCCUUACCUGACGCUGAUGCGCGAAAGCCAGGGUAGCGAACGGG
rnacentral:rRNA from 1 species